UAUGGAAGGAUGUUUACUUUCAAGAGCAAAAUCAUGGAGGAAUUGUGACAUAUCUUAAAAACAGGGGUCAGAUAUCUGAAAAAUCACUCAUACAGAUAACCACAUUCUCAAAUCUGUUAGCUGACGCCGACAAGGAUGACAUUAGUAGAGCCCUCGACAUGACAGUCAAUUUAACUCACUUGAGAUCUUUUGACACAGAAAGAGAGUUCUGCAAAUAUUUCGGAUCUUGCAUGGUUGAUAAGAGCCUGUUCAUCAUACAGUGUGAUGCAUCAUCAGAAACGGCUGCGAUGAUAGAGUGUGUUCGACAUAGAAUACAAG